rnacentral:rRNA from 2 species
UUGGAGAGUUUGAUCCUGGCUCAGGACGAACGCUGGCGGCGUGCUUAACACAUGCAAGUCGAACGAAGAGCGAUGGAAGCUUGCUUCUAUCAAUCUUAGUGGCGAACGGGUGAGUAACGCGUAAUCAACCUGCCCUUCAGAGGGGGACAACAGUUGGAAACGACUGCUAAUACCGCAUACGAUCCAAUCUCGGCAUCGAGGAUGGAUGAAAGGUGGCCUCUAUUUAUAAGCUAUCACUGAAGGAGGGGAUUGCGUCUGAUUAGCUAGUUGGAGGGGUAACGGCCCACCAAGGCAAUGAUCAGUAGCCG